GAUGAACGCUGGCGGCGUGCCUAAUACAUGCAAGUCGAGCGAACAGACGAGGAGCUUGCUCCUCUGACGUUAGCGGCGGACGGGUGAGUAACACGUGGAUAACCUACCUAUAAGACUGGGAUAACUUCGGGAAACCGGAGCUAAUACCGGAUAAUAUAUUGAACCGCAUGGUUCAAUAGUGAAAGACGGUUUUGCUGUCACUUAUAGAUGGAUCCGCGCCGCAUUAGCUAGUUGGUAAGGUAACGGCUUACCAAGGCAACGAUGCGUAGCCGACCUGAGAGGGGGGUAGGCCACAUGGGAACGUGGACACCGACCAGGAGCCUAAGGGAGGGCGCAGUAGGGAACGUUACGCAAUGGGGGGAAACCUUGCGGAACGACGGCGCGUGAGUGACGAAGGUCCUGCGAUCGGAAAACUCUGUUAUUAGGGAAGAACAAAUGUGUAAGUAACUAUGCACGUCUUGACGGUACCUAAUCAGAAAGCCACGGCUAACUACGUG
rnacentral:rRNA from 1 species